rnacentral:rRNA from 1 species
CAAUAGCGUAUAUUAAAGUUGUUGCAGUUAAAAAGCUCGUAGUUGGAUUUGUGGCGUACGGUGUGUUCCGGGCACUUGUUGUCUGAGUAACCUGCUGUUGCCAUCCUUGGGUGGAACCUGUGUGGCAUUAGGUUGUCGUGCAGGGGAUGCCCAUUAUUUACUGUGAAAAAAUUAGAGUGUUCAAAGCAGGCUUAUGCCGUUGAAUAUAUUAGCAUGGAAUAAUGAGAUAGGACUUUUUUGCUAUUUUGUUGGUUUGCGCAAAGAGGUAAUGAUUAAUAGGGACAGUUGGGGGUAUUCGUAUUCCAUUGUCAGAGGUGAAAUUCUUGGAUUUUGGAAGACGAACUACUGCGAAAGCAUUUACCAAGGAUGUUUUCAUUAA